UUUUUUUUUUUUUUUUUUUUAUUUUUUAAUCUAAGGUUGCUACUUUGGAGUCAGCAAAUCUUUGAGAUGUAGAUCGCAGAGGUUAAGAGAAUAUACAAAGAAAAGAGCAUACAUAUUUGUCCUGUUCUUGUGCUUUUCCACUUAAUAGCCAUUACUGACCACCACCUGAGAUGGGAGAGACACUCGGAUAAAUAGAUAUUGGGCUUGACCCAGCAGGCUGUGGUUGUAAACAGCCCUCCUGAGAUCCCCUCUCUCUGAAUUCACUGUCUGAAUAAAUAACUUUGAACCAUCACAGUCUGUUCUGAGAGCCUCAGCCCUGUAUCUAAAGUGAAGUGGAAGGAAUCUCUGUCUCUGAGUCUAGUCUUGUUGAGCAAAAACUAAAACAAUAAUUGUGAAUGACAAAUGCUCUCCAAACCCCAGAAGCAACGUUGGGCAAGGCAGUAUAUUUGCUUUGCCUCCUUUUGGUGACGAGAAACAGUUUACUGAAGAAAACUGAAUAUUUAUAAACCCUUUCGUCAUCAGUGGGGAAGCUGCAAUGAUAUAUUUGAUCCUUUCAUACUUCACUUUUGGAACAGCUUAAUAGUAGGGUUUAGAACAAUAUACAUCCCUGUUUUGAGAGUAUUCACUUGUUUUAGGACUGUGGAAAAAACCACAAGCUCUGUAGUAAGGAGAGGACAGGGACGUCAAUUUUAUCCACUUCAGUGCAGAAAUGGACAAAAAAUCCUAGCCUUGAUUCAAAGCUUCAAAAUUGUAAAGUGAAGGCUUGUUGUGACCUGUUUUGUUAAAUGAAGUACAGCAGUUGUUCAGAGUUAAUGUCCUCAUAUAUUAUCAUGCUUAAAAACAGGCAAUGUCAUAAACUUUUUUAAACACCUAACAUACUACAGAAGCUGUGCAGGCUGGUAAAAUCACUAGUUAACAUCUCUAAAUCACAUAAAGCUGGAAGUGCUAUAUUCUUUCCUGAUAUGUGUAAGGUGACCUGCCAUUCUUACUAUAAACUGGAUUUUUAAUUUAUUUUUUAUUUAAGAAGGGAAAUGCAUCCACUCUGGGGUAGUGCAUAACAGCUUUUUAACCAUGCUAGGGCACUGUUCCUUAGGUAGUGGCUCCUUAGCUGUUGUGGCCUAACCACAAUGAUGAACUGAUGACUUUGCUGGCAUCCACCAUCCCAGUACUGACAUACUUUUCAGUAACAGAGGCAGACACCUUUGUUUCCUCAUUCCUUCACAACCAUGAUGCAUUUGUUGAGCCGAAACACAGGUAAGCCCUAGGUGUUGUCCUGCAGUUUUUACAGGAGCAGCAACAGAUUGAAUGUUACCCUUUUGAGGAGUGCAGUAGGAUGUGUAAAGACAGUGAAAGUGCUGACCCCCUGUGGGUUCCAAAGGCAGGAAUAGCUGUUCAAACCACUGUAGCUUAUUUUUAAAUACAUGCUUAAAGUUAGACUUUUAAUGUUCUGUGUAGGAGCCAAAGUGUUCAGCUUGGCUUUCAGAGACAUCAAACAUUCAGGAGAUCCCACCAAAAUCAGUGGUGGUGCCUUUGUGCUCAGAUGUUCUGAAAUAAUACCAUGACAGUUUCAGAGAGAGUGAUGAUUCCUUCCUCCCAUAACCUAUAUCUAACCAAGGCAAGGUAUUCCUAGACCAGGAUCAUAUAGAGCUCAGUGUUUUGAACAGGAGCUUCUGUCCUGUUUGAUUUACUCUCACCACACUGUAGUUUGCACCAAUUCCUCCCUUGAACCCUCCUCCCUCUGUAAAUCCCAGUACUGCUCCACUGACCAUGUCAAAGGUUCACUUUGCUCCUGUCGAAGUCUUUUCCAGCCUGGUUAAUGUCACUUAGCAUUUAGCUGCAGUGUUUUGAAUCAGAUUAAUUAGGUUUCCCAUGACUGAUGUGUUGAGAGCUUCUUGAUUCAUGUGUUCUGAAUAUUGUUUCUGGACAUGUUUUGUGGACAGUGAUUAAAAAUGUUUGUGCUAUGGUGAUGUUUGUUGCUAAUUGCUGUGAUUUGUUGAGACAUGGAACAGUUGACUGAUAUCACUGUUAGCAAGGGCAGGCAGAAAAACAGUAGAUUUUAUUCUGAGGUCAGAAAAAAAGUAGGAAAAAAAUCCAUUGCAAGUGCUAAUGAAAUUUUCCCUAUGUAGCAAAUAAUUACUUUGAAAAUCAUCUAAACAAAAGGAAGUUUUUGAAAACCAAACAAAAAUCUGUUAUGUUUUAGAAAUAAUAAAAAAAUUUACCAAUGAAAUAAAACUGUUCCCUGCAGGUAUGUUAAUGAUGAAGGGUGCCCUUAAGCACCUGCUUAAACAGGGGUGGCCAGUACUUGACAAUUCUAUUGUUUUUCAAGCUCCCUUAGUAAAAAUGAAUUGUCAGCAACUUUAAGUACAACAUCCUUUCUAAAAAAGGAUCCAGUGACUCCCAAUGACUUCUAAAACUUUGUAGCUAAAGAUGUAGAUUGUGGCAGCUAUCUCUCCUAAACUUAAACAAAUCUGCAAGAAGUUGGCUAUUCUCCCCCCUGCUAGGAAUGCCUUUCCUUAAGGAUCCUGCUUUUAGUAGCAAUUUUUCCUUGUACUGAUCAGAUUGUCAAAACUGUGUCCAAAGCUAAGGUUUAUCUCCAAAAAUAUGCUCAUCUCCAUCAGUGGAGGGAUCUCCUGCUCUGGUAAGUUUUCUCACCAUGGGUGGAUGGUGUCCUUAAUAUGUAAAAGCCAAUGGCUUCUGACUGAAAGUUUUGGAUAUAAUCUUGAUUAUAGAAAGAGAAUAUGGUGAGGAAAGUGCUGUUUAUGUGGCACUGGGAUAAAGAGUGAGGUUGUGUUCCAAAUACCAAGAAAAGCAAACCUACUAUGUUCCAGCGGCUGAUAGUCAUAGAGAUUAUGUUCAUAGUAUCAUAGAUACAGUCAAGGGGUUGGAUGUCUGAAGAGUCCAGAAUUUUGACUUGGCAGAUUGCUAUGUAUUAGUAGCUUUUUAAUUUUGGUCAUAUUGUUGUCUUCUUGAUCUAUGUAAAUUUGAUAGAGUGCAUCUUUCACACUGUCUGCUAGCUCAGGGCUGCUGCCAGUGUGGUCAGGGUGAUAGACUGCCAUGAUAUUCUGGAAUAUAUGCUAUUGAGGAACUGGUGCUUUUCUAGCCUGCCAGCAAUUCUUGGGGUUCCUGGUCUUAGCAUCUUAUCUAAGUUCCAUCUUUUUUUACAGCAAAUAUGUCAACUUUGUUCAGAGAUGUGUGCAUACACCAGCCAUUGUCUGGUUUGUCCAAACUGUGUUGUGUGAGGGUUGCUCAAUUUUCUCACAAUAUAAAAGAGGCUCUUCUCCCUGCUUUGGUAGAAAGCACAAAAAAAUUUAAUGCUUCAGGACUUUCACACUAGAUACAAAGCAAGAGGCUGAAUCUUGGAAUUAUGGAAAAUUUUGAGUUGGGAGGAAUGUUUCAAGUUCAUCUGUUCUACUAGUUAUGCAAUGAGCAGGGACAUCUUCAAUAGGAACAGUUUGCUCGGAGCCCUGUCCAACAACAUCUUGUGUGUUUAUAGGGAGGAGGGACCUGGCACCUCUUAGGGCAACCUAUUCUGGUGUUUUAAAAAACAUUUAAAACUUUUUCCUUAUGCCUCAUCUGAAUCUUCCUUCUAUCAGUUUAAAACCAUGACUCCCUCUCCUAUUACAAUAGGCCCUAUUAAGUAAGUAGUUUAUGCCAUCUUUCUUAUAGGCCUCUUUCAAAUACUGAAAGGCCACAACAAAAUCUGGAAAGCCAGAAUCCUGACCUUUUCUUGAACAUUAUUUUUGACAUACUCUAAAAGUUAUGGUAGUUUGUAAAUUUACUAUACCUGUUCUUCUUCCUCCUCCUGCUCUUCUACAUGUGCCCUAUAAUGUCAUCAGGUACAUAUGGUCAAUGCUUAGGUAAGGGCUGCUUCACCAGUUCUUUGUGUGAUUUUGUCUCUGGAAGAAAUUCCAGUGAUAGGACUUGCAAAUGUGCUGGGAAUAUAUGGCCAACCCCUUUUCCCUUGCCUUUGCUGCACACCUGCCUGGAACUUACCCUACCAGAACCCAGAUAAUCUGCAACUCAAAUAUCUUCUGUGUAUCUGAAACAAAUUGUGCUGGCUAUUUGCCAUGCAGUGAAAUCACAGGGUUUUUCAUUACACUCUCAGAAGCCUUAAUUAGUGAAUAAGGCAGCUGUAUGCUCUCAAAAAUACAUCUAUCAGUACAAACGGCUGCCUGAUGGUCCAAAAUAAAAAGUGCUAACAUUUCUUUCAUGCUUUCUCUUCCCUUAGAGAUCAUGGGCAGAUAAUAGGGGGAAAGGGACCACUGAGGAUUUUCUUACUUUGUGAUUUAUGCUUAUCCUCAAUUAAGAAGAAAAUACAAAAUGCAUCUUUAAAUUGUCUGUCUGAUUAAAAUUAUCUGUCUCUGUAUAGAAUUGCAUUCCUUUCUGUCUUGUCUAAGUGUACAACUGGUAUCUUAUAACUCCUGAUAUUGUGAGUCCUUCAUGCUUCACCCAUUAGCUCCACAGUCCUGUUUGUCACCAUAGAGAAAAAAGAAUGCUUGUCUUGACAUAUCUUAAAGAGAGCAAGGCUCUUACUUGUCUCAGAGAAUUGACCAGAAUGUACUGUUUUUCUAAAACAGGACAAGAAUUUUAUUUUAAAAUUUGGCAUGUGUCACUUCAAAUGGCUCUUGGAUUUUGUUGAAUAAAUUAGCCCUGGGGACAUGCACAGGUGAAGUUUCUUCACCUGGAACUUUUCCUGGAAUUUCCUCUUCCUUUUUACAGCAAACUUAGAAAUGAGCUUGUGGUUUUUUGUUUGUUUUUUUUUUUUUUUUUCACUAACACAACAGGUAAAUAGCUCACAUCACCCAGUCCCAAAGUAUUUCUAAUAGGAGGUUUCCACCAGCUUUGAAUUGGAGCUGCUGAAAUAGCACUGGGGUUCUAUCCUCUCGAAUUCCCAGAGGGGCAGUGAAAUUGAGUGUUUCUUUUUACAGAGGGGAGAAAAAUCCCACCUGCCACCAAGAAAGCUUUUGUGAAGAUGGGAAUUGAACCUACACCUUGCACAUCAGCAGGAAAAUGGCAUUGAUAUCAUGAAUGUUUGGCACAGCUUCAAGGAGGAAGAGGGUUAGUCUAGGGUGGUAUCAAGGGGAUGCAAAUUCACAUUGAUUCCUCUCAUCUCCCUGAGCCAGGGAACUGUCUAAUGAUGCAAACUUCCAUAAAGUGACAGAAAACCCAAGGGAAAGGUACAGAAAUGUUACAACUAUUUCAAAAUUUUAUAUAAAGAACGAGAAGGUGGAUGAGACAUCAGUCCUACUGUGAGUAUUUUGUCUUGUUUGUACUAUUUUCCACAGUGGUGGUUGAAACAUCCUGCUUGAGAGAUGGAGAGAAAGCUCUUUUUUCUGAAUCAGGGGUUCAUCAGGUGGAACAAAGGAGUCUGAUCUUUCUGCCUGUCUGCAUCUCACAUGUACUUGUACACUGUCUUUCUUUCUCCCCUUUGCACCGUCAGAAGAUCCAGGUACCUCUGCUUCAUUUCUCAUCCAGAUCACUUCUGAUCCUUCUUCAACAAAAUUCUAGUACAAGUCUUGGUCUCCUGUGACUGUCAAAAUAUAUGAUUCCAGUGUGAGUCAGAGAUCCAUCUGGACACUCUCUGGGUCUUCUGCAGAAGACUCAAGGAUCAGCAUGUGAGUUUUGCUAGCUGGAAUGUCUCUUAGCAAGUCUACAUCCCAGGCUUUCUGUUCCUUUUGGAGAUUUGUAGUUGAAAAAGUGUUUGCUGAAAGCCUGCUAGUAAAAAAAAAAAAAAAAAAAAAA
rnacentral:lncRNA from 1 species